GGCCCCACUACAACAUCUCUAGGACUGUCUUAACUAACUGUAGGUCCCACUACAACAUCUCUAGGACUGUCUUAACUAACUGUAGGCCCCACUACAACAUCUCUAGGACUGUCUUAACUAACUGUAGGUCCCACUACAACAUCUCUAGGACUGUCUUAACUAACUGUAGGCCCCACUACAACAUCUCUAGGACUGUCUUAACUAACUGUAGGUCCCACUACAACAUCUCUAGGACUGUCUUAACUAACUGUAGGCCCCACUACAACAUCUCUAGGACUGUCUUAACUAACUGUAGGUCCCACUACAACAUCUCUAGGACUGUCUUAACUAACUGUAGGCCCCACUACAACAUCUCUAGGACUGUCUUAACUAACUGUAGGCCCCACAACAACAUCUCUAGGACUGUCUUAACUAACUGUAGGCCCCACUAGAACAUCU